rnacentral:rRNA from 1 species
CCUACGGGUGGCAGCAGUCGGGAAUAUUGCGCAAUGGAGGAAACUCUGACGCAGUGAUGCCGCGUGCAGGAAGAAGGUUUUCGGAUUGUAAACUGCUUUAGACAGGGAAGAAAAAAGACAGUACCUGUAGAAUAAGCUCCGGCUAACUACGUGCCAGCAGCCGCGGUAAUACGUAGGGAGCAAGCGUUAUCCGGAUUUAUUGGGUGUAAAGGGUGCGUAGACGGAGAAGCAAGUUAGUUGUGAAAUCCCUCGGCUUAACUGAGGAACUGCAACUAAAACAACUUCCCUUGAGUACUGGAGAGGAAAGUGGAAUUCCUAGUGUAGCGGUGAAAUGCAUAGAUAUCACGCAGAACCCCGAUUGCGAAGGCAGCAUGCCGGCUUCCGACUGACGCUGAAGCACGAAAGCGUGGGGAUCGAACAGGAUUAGAUACCCGAGUAGUC